AAAGUUCUUCAUGAUGUUUAGUCAGAAUCUCCUUUCUUGUAAUUUGAAUCCUUUGGUUUGGGUCCUACCUUCCAGAGCAGGAGUAAACAAGCUUGCUCCAUCUUCCAUGUGACAGCCCUUGAGAUAUUUGAAGAUGCCUAUCAUAUUUCUUCUUAAGUCUCCUCUUUUCCAGGCUAAACAUGCCCAUCUGCUUCAA